GCGCUAUUUCCCGCCCCUCGCCUUGAGGGCCCGCCCCCAGCAUCCCCAUGGAAACUGAAGCGCGUGACCCGGCUCCGGCCAAUCGGAAACUAGAGAGAUGGGAGGGAAUGGCAGGCCGGCGGGCCCAUCCUCUCAGAGUUUUGCCCGCCUCGCGCCUAUAGGGACACGGCGAAGCGUAACUUACAGCGAGCACCUGGCAUCGACAGCUCCCAGGAUGCUUUGCAGUAGCCACCUCUGAGUUAGUGCUACAGCAGCUGUUUAAAAGUGCACAGCAAGAACACAAGUUGUGAGGCCUACAUAUAUUCUGAAUGCGAAGCUACUGCUGUGAAAAGUUGGCUUAGCAACUGAAUGACUCUGUUCCAAGAUGCCUGGCUAAUGAUCCCCCAACAGUUCAGGGGAGUGACUUCGUACCGCAAACAUAUGCUGAUUAAAUGGUUUAGCUUCAGCACUGAAAAUUAUUAUGACUGGCCUACAUGAGGAAUGAUUUUUAAGAUGCUUAUACCAUGGCAGCAUCACAUUUUUCAGAAGUUAGGCAUCAACCAUGAUAGCUAGGAUUGAGAAUGUUCACAAGAAAAUGAGGUGGAGUUAGUCCUUCUUCAUUGCCUGCAGUUUAACCUUCUAAUAAGGUAUUUCUGUUGCCACUGUCUCUUGAAGUGCCUUCCAGAUUUCGACAGCAUCAGCAACGCAGCACCGAUUUCUCUGAAGUUUAAGGCUAUGAACAUAGGUGUCGGUAUACUGAGCAAAUCCUCUGCAUUAACAUUGGAUUAAAGAGGAGAGAUUUUAGAUACAACAGAUGAAUUAUCAUGGUUUUCUUCACAAUAGUUUGAGACUAGGUUGACUUUUAAUAAAUUCAUAAGUCAACCACAGAAUUUCAUUGAACACUUUGAGGGUGGAUCCUCCUGCUCUCUUCAGCAAAGCUGAAGCAAAAUGGUUGUUAUGGAGGUAUUUUGUGACUUCAGCGUUUUCUUUUAUUCCUGGAGAAGAUGUACGUAAGUCUUUGGCUAAAAGAUGCCGUGAUGGGCACUGCAGCCAUAUGUUAAGAAGCAUCCUUCUGUUUCUUCUUCUAAGUAUCUCUCCAUCUUUGCCAUGUUUACAGCAUUGUCUGUGAUAAAAUUGUGCACAUGACAGUUGAAUUAUUGUUCGCAGUUUAUUACAGCUUUCACUGAUGCUUCUCUUAAAUAUUUUGUUGCGUGGGCUUUUCCUGAUCUAUUUCUGAAAGAUCUGCAAUCCCAUCUUCUGUUGUCAUGCAGGCACGUUUGACUAAGGAUGUUAAAAGGCGUUUGUCUCUGUCUGAGGGAUUGGAGCAAAUGUGGUUGUAUCUUAGGGCUUGGCUAUAGACGAUGGAUCAUGUGACAUGUUUUGGAUGAAAGGCUUGUUACAAAUAACUAGUAAAUGACUAAGUGUAAAAGCAGGAAUUAUUUGUUGACUUAAGGCAGUGGUCUGCAACCUUUUUACAGCCAAGAUCGGUUUUUAAGUGUCAGGGCAGCCAAGAUCUACCCCAUCCCUUCCUUGAGGCCCUGCCCUCUCCAUUCCCUCCUCUCCAUCAUUUGCUGUCCCCAGCCCUUUCUCACUCUCCCUGGGUGCGGGCUCU